AUUACUCUGCGCUUAUUUUCUAGAAAGACUUUUCAAUACGUUUCACUAAUAAAAGGAUGAACUUAUGAAACAGAUAUUGCUGCAUCGCGACAUCUGAGAUUUCAAUAAUGGCAGUAUGUAUUAGAGAUAGCAAACGCAACUAUCGAAAUACAUUUUAUAAUUUUUCAAUUUUAUCCGUAGCUCUUGACAAUUGUGUGCUGCAAACGUGACCGAAAUAUUUUGUUCAUUACAAAAUGCAAUACUUUCGAACGGUCCCCGCAUAAUAUUACACGUGAAAAAUGAUUGAAUAGGAGUGCUUAUAAUAAAUUUGUUACAGAUCCAAUACUCUUAAAAUCCUUUCAAUCUGUCAGUAGCAUUAGUAAGAUGCUUAACGCUUAACGGACGAGCCACGUAAAUUUACGUUCUUUCCAUUAUGACUUUCCGAGAUGGAUUACAUGUUGAUUCACGUUUUCGUUUGAAUUUUUAUUAAAAAUGCCCGAAGACAGAGAAAAAGAAUAACCCGCCUGUUAAACGUUAAUGUUUGCAGAUUCAUGUAAAAUGAUGAAUAAAAAAAAAAGAAGGUCAUAUACAUAAAUAGUAUGUCCGAUAAUGUUACUCCUUGAACUCACUUGCAUUAGUAAAUAGACGUUGAUAUUACAUGCUUAACAUGUGUAUUAAACUAUUAAAUACUCUCUUCAGGCAACUUAAUAAAAUUUAUAUAAAAAAAGCAAAUAUAUAUAAUAUAUGUAGCACCACACGUGUGUGACUGUUACGUGUUGACGUUCGUCUUGCACAUUUACAACUAUACUUAAAACAUUCUCGGAUGACUAACAUAUUUAUACUUUCUACAUGUAUUUUCAGAAUAUGCGAAUAUAACCUCAGAGAGCUGAUGACCACUUAAAACGAGAAGAUAAUAAAAAGAUAUUUGUAAACAAAUUUGUUGCCAUAAUUUUAACGACCUUUUCCGUCUCUGAAGUAAUAUCCUUCACGAAGGUCCGCGUAAAUCCUUCCCAAAAAUAUCUCGGUAAAAUUCGGUAAAUAAAUUUUACCUCUGCUCGAUAAAUGUGUCAAAAUUUUUAGUCGACGCGCAUCGUACAGGUUGUUCGUCAAGUAUAAAUCGGUUAGUUCCUUAAAAUCGCAUACUGUGAAGAAAAAAACAAUAAGAGGAAGACUUUGUCUCACUUCCGUCCCGACGAAGUGCAAGAAAAAUCUUCUCCUUCGUUAGAUCAAUUGACGGUAACAUUCCGACGAAGAAAAGCAUUUUAGUCCGUGGACUCGAAGCGUUUCACUAUUAAACUAAUUUUUGUAAAUUGCAAGAACGCGUAAGCGUAGCCCCAGUGUGCGUUUGCAGGAUCCCUCGCAACAAUAUUCAGUCCAGAUAUUACAUAGGCAGCAUUAAACGUUUGGGAGAACAAUUUACAAGGCAAACGCACAAGGGGAGGGUAACUACCCACAAUAAAGUUGAGGUAUGUCGUUCGGCUCAUGUCAUAUUAAUGAAACAUUUAAUAGUCAUGUAAUUAACCGUUCAUUAACUGUUAAUAACGCUCGCGCAUUAACGUAUAUAUCUGUAUAAAAUAUGCACAUAUAUAUAUAUAUAUAUAAUAUAUAAUAUAUAAUAUUAAAUAUCAUUCGAUUAUUCGUAUAAUUAUAAGUAUCCUUUGAACGCGUCUCGCAAUCGCGUCACAGUGUGAUAGUCACAAUCAAUAUCAGAAGACCUUACAUACUGAGUUAUAUAUUUUCUCUCACUGGUGAAUCGAGAAAUAGUCACAUACAAAAUAAUGCGUUUCAUUUUAGAACAGGCUCUCUCGAUUUUCGCUUAAAGCAACGGAAUGUCUUUGCAACGUUCUCCCUUAUCGAUUUCGAUCUUAAAUUGUCGGGUAUUUAAUGAGUUUACGGCUUACAGCAAUGGCUCGUAGGCAUUCACCGGUAAUUGAACGUAUUCUUCCUCGUAUUUAUCGUUCGAUGUUAUUUACUACUAAGGCCUAUACACAUAGAAGAACUUCGAAUGUUUUACUGUGAACGCCGCUCAACGCAUCGACGCAUGAUUGUUUCUUCGCUAUUGCAAAGACAAUCCGUUUCUAUCUUACAUUAAUCCGUUGUAUCGAUUAUACCUUAGAAUGUCACAGUACUUACAUUGAAGGAAUUGGUUACUUACUUGCAAGAAAGGGUUACUUUCAAGGAAUGUUUUUAAGUGUGCUACGUUGAACACUACGUUUCGAGUAUAUGGGGAUAUGUUAAAAAAAUGGUGGGGAAGAAGACAGAAAGUGGGGAGAAGGAAUAUGAGAAACAAAAAAGUGAAUGAAGGUACCGAGAAAGAAGACACAGGAGCGCGCAGUUACGAUAUAAUAAAUCGACUUACAAACUACAGACUUGUAAUUAACAGAGAAGAGAAGGAGAUCCGGGAGAAUCUGAUUUACCGGACACAAAACAAAGGGAGACCCGGCAAGGAUGGUCAAACAUGAUACUCUCCAAACAUAUUGUGAAUAUUAUUAUCACGGACGUAGUAUAGAAUCUAGCAAUUUGUCCAAUCGGUAAAUCAGAUUUCCGAAGAGAUUACUCCCGAAGAUGGCGCAGCAGGGA